GGAGGGGGUAACUCAGCCUCUCCACCAUCCCAAGGCCCUCCUCUUAGCUGUGCUCAUUGGUCUCGGGGCUGAAAAAACUACUCUAGGACGUGGUUGGAUAAACGCAUGUUGUUCAGCAGAGGCCGUUAACCUUUAAAGCGCUGAUACGUUUUGCUUUUUUAACUCGAAUUGCUGUCUUUUUAAGAAGUCUCUGAAAUCGUCUCCCUUGACAGGGCAAGCGAAACGUGCCUUAAAUCUCCAUCUCGUGGAAGAUCUGCUUGGCUGGCAGCUGAUGUGUGUUGUUGUUGGCUUUUAAGGAACAUCUCCGUGUUGUGUUUCUUCUGUUGUUUAGCUUUGAUUUAUUAUUUUUUCCUUUUUCUCUUUGUUUUGUUUGAUUUGUUUUUUUUUUUUUUCGGUCUUUUGCAUUUGGUUUUUCAAAGAGCUUUGGCAAACACCAGAGCCAUCAAGGCCAGGGCAGGCCCUCUAGCCAUCUUCUCUUACUGAUGCUCUUGACCUGAGUUCCUUGGGUGCUCCUCUGCAAUCUACCAAGGUGCAAAAUUUGCAAAAUUUGCAAAAUUAUCUACUGCCUCCAAUCCCAGCCUUCUCCCAUCCUUGGGUUCUCCCUCCAGCUCUGUCUGGCUUCACUGCAGAUACAAGAAUGGCAAAACAAAUCUGAGUGCUGGAACCCUGUGGCUCUGCCUUCACAUGAGUGCUGGGGGUGACCCCUGUGCUGUGUACUGACCUCCUGCAGGCAGCUGCUGAAGAAUCACAGCCAUCCCCUGAGCUCACAGCUGCAGACUGGAGUAAUUUGCUGAUGCUGUACAAGGAAUUGUCUCUCCUGCAGACCUGGCUGGUGUGAUCAGAACUCACACAUGGUAUCAAAACAAAGAGCCCUUCAGGCAAGUGGUUCUGUUUAUUUUGGCUCAGGCUGGUGUUGCUCCUUUCUCCCUGUGUCUUCUCCCUGUGUGCUGUGCACAUCUUUUUUCCUCUGCCUUUGGAGCUGCUGGCUCCUUGCUCUCAGAUCUGGGGUGGCCUGGCUUGUGCAGCAUCAGCAGAUUUGAGGGAUGUGGAGAAAAGCACCCAACAUACUGUUAUAAGUGCAUAACAUAUUGUCGGCUUUUCACAACUAUUAGAAUAAAUGCUAUAUAUAUAAUAUUAAAAUAGCUUUUCUGUAUAAAUAUAAGCUUUUUCUUCUAAUAGCAAAAAUUAAACAUAAGUUUUUUAAAAAUAGUAUGCUUAAACUACCCAUUUAGCUAAAAUAACAGCCUGUAAACAUAUAAUAAAAACCCUGCAACUAACACAACAAUUACCAACAAUCACCAACUACAAAAAGCCAAAACC